rnacentral:rRNA from 1 species
AACGAACGCUGGCGGCAUGCCUAACACAUGCAAGUCGAACGAGACCUUCGGGUCUAGUGGCGCACGGGUGCGUAACGCGUGGGAACCUGCCCUUAGGUUCGGAAUAACUCCCCGAAAGGGGUGCUAAUACCGGAUAAUGUCUUCGGACCAAAGAUUUAUCGCCUUUGGAUGGGCCCGCGUUGGAUUAGCUAGUUGGUAGGGUAAAAGCCUACCAAGGCGACGAUCCAUAGCUGGUCUGAGAGGAUGAUCAGCCACACUGGGACUGAGACACGGCCCAGACUCCGAGGGAGGGGAGCAGUGGGGAAUAUUGGACAAGGGGCGAAAGCCUGAUCCAGCAAUGCCGCGUGAGUGAUGAAGGCCUUAGGGUUGUAAAGCUCUUUUACCCGGGAUGAUAAUGACAGUACCGGGAGAAUAAGCUCCGGCUAACUCCGUG